UAGUGGCGCACGGGUGCGUAACGCGUGGGAAUCUGCCCUUGGGUUCGGAAUAACAGCUGGAAACGGCUGCUAAUACCGGAUGAUGACKUAAGUCCAAAGAUUUAUCGCCCAGGGAUGAGCCCGCGUAGGAUUAGSUAGUUGGUGGGGUAAAGGCUUACCAAGGCGACGAUCCUUAGCUGGUCUGAGAGGAUGAUCAGCCACACUGGGACUGAGACACGGCCCARACUCCUACGGGAGGCAGCAGUGGGGAAUAUUGGACAAUGGGGGMAACCCUGAUCCAGCAAUGCCGCGUGAGUGAUGAAGGCCUUAGGGUUGUAAAGCUCUUUUUACCCGGGAUGAUAAUGAC
rnacentral:rRNA from 1 species